AUGAGAUAUUUGUUGAGGACAAGGUUUGAGGAAAACCACAACAGUCAACUCCAACAGCUGCACAGGGGUUCAAGCUCACUUGCAGUUUCAGAGAACCAAGAUGAUAAACAUAAAACUGAUAUCCAAGAGGAUAAACAUAAAACUGAUCUUCUGUCCAUAUAGUGACACCUUAGAGACGCCAAGAAAGAGCCAGUCAAAUUCACAUACAUUCAGGUAAGGAAAUUAUGUGACUUUCCAUUAUGAAACAGUGAGAGAAUGAAUGUUUUCAGAGUAAGCUGCUUUGAUUGCUGUGCUAUAGUGGGCAAAAUAUUUUUAAAACUGCAAGUUUUAAGCAUCUGGUGGGGGUGAGAGCAGAGAUGGUUAAAUCUUUACCUGAACACAAAUUUGCAGGGAAACAAAGCCUGAGGGAGAAGAAACACGAAAUAUUUUCAAAAACAUAAAGAAUUGGAUUACUUUUUAUUAUAAAUAGGUUGCCUCAUCAGUGUUUU
rnacentral:lncRNA from 1 species